rnacentral:rRNA from 1 species
GUAGGUGGCAAGCGUUGUCCGGAAUUAUUGGGCGUAAAGCGCGCGCAGGCGGUUCUUUAAGUCUGAUGUGAAAGCCCACGGCUCAACCGUGGAGGGUCAUUGGAAACUGGAGAACUUGAGUACAGAAGAGGAAAGCGGAAUUCCACGUGUAGCGGUGAGAUGCGUAGAGAUGUGGAGGAACACCAGUGGCGAAGGCGGCUUUCUGGUCUGUAACUGACGCUGAGGCGCGAAAGCGUGGGGAGCAAACAGGAUUAGAUACCCUGGUAGUCCACGCCGUAAACGAUGAGUGCUAAGUGUUAGGGGGGUUUUCCGCCCCCCUUAGUGCUGCAGCUAACGCAUUAAGCACUCCGCCUGGGAGUACGGCCGCAAGGCUG